UAGUGUCCGCCACCGCUCCUUCCUUGAUGGAGACCCCCUGGAUCCGUCUACCUCUUCUCCAAGGUCUGAAUUAGCAAUUCACCCAUCUCCGCGUUCAUUCUCCCAGGUGUCACAAUCCACCUCCUCCCUCGUGGAUACCUCUGUCUCCACCACUUCCCGGCCACGCAUGAGGAAGAAACUGAAGAUGCUCAACAUUGCCAAGAAGAUCCUGCGCAUCCAGAAAGAGACGCCCACGCUGCAGCGGAAGGAGCCCCCGCCCGCAGUGCUAGAAGCUGACCUGACCGAGGGCGACCUGGCUAACUCCCAUCUGCCCUCCGAAGUGCUUUAUAUGCUCAAGAACGUCCGGGUGCUGGGCCACUUCGAGAAGCCACUCUUCCUGGAGCUCUGCCGCCACAUGGUCUUCCAGCGGCUGGGCCAGGGUGACUACGUUUUCCGGCCGGGCCAGCCAGAUGCCAGCAUCUACGUGGUGCAGGACGGGCUGCUGGAGCUCUGCCUGCCAGGGCCUGACGGGAAGGAGUGUGUGGUGAAGGAAGUGGUUCCUGGGGACAGCGUCAACAGCCUUCUCAGCAUCCUGGAUGUCAUCAC
rnacentral:sRNA from 1 species